UACGUAGGGACCAAGCGUUGUUCGGAUUUACUGGGCGUAAAGGGCGCGUAGGCGGCGUGGUAAGUCACUUGUGAAAUCUCUGAGCUUAACUCAGAACGGCCAAGUGAUACUGCUGUGCUAGAGUGCAGAAGGGGCAAUCGGAAUUCUUGGUGUAGCGGUGAAAUGCGUAGAUAUCAGGAGGAACACCGGUGGCGAAGGCGGCUUGCUGGGCCAGUUCUGACGCUGAGGAGCGAAAGCGUGGGGAGCGAACAGG
rnacentral:rRNA from 1 species